CUCCUUGUGGUGUAGUUGGCUAUCACGUCGGGCUGUAAUUGAAUCAAAUUCAUUACCUGAAGGUCACCAGUUCAAUUCUGGUCGGGGAGA